GGGGGCGUGGUGUAGUUGGUUAACACACUGGCCUGUCAAGCCAGAGAUCGCGAGUUCGAGUCUCGUCGCUCCCGCCA
rnacentral:tRNA from 1 species